UGGUUCACCCCUCGUGCUUCUUGAUGAAAGUGUUUUUUUCUUUUCGGACAUCAUGACGCAUAUUUUAGUGAAAUGCUUUAACGACGAUAAGUGGGACGUUUAUCCGUUGAAGUGGUUGGCUCACCCAGCUACUAGUCUUCGACUGAUGUGCGAGCCUGGUUGUUUUGAUGAGUUGCGCGUCAGAGGUCAUGAUGUCUGUUGGAGAGAAGGCACCCCGAAACAGUCGCAGCCGCACUUCUGAAGAUAAGUCACGCAUGCAGCACAUUCCCAGGUGCUAAAGUGUUCUACGCCAAAAGCACCUUGGCGUCGUGCAAGAGACACCCGUUGAUAUGUGGCUGAUUCACUAGCAAGCUCUCAUCUCUGUUGUUUUAAUAGCGGUGAAAGACGUGUGAUAAAGCUUGUAUAUAUUUACGUGAA